rnacentral:rRNA from 1 species
GAUGAACGUUGGCGGUGUGCCUAAUACAUGCAAGUCGAACGGAGACUGUAGCAAUACUGUCUUAGUGGCGAACGGGUGAGUAACGCGUUGGUGAUCUGCCUCGAAGUGUGGAAUAACCUCCCGAAAGGGAAGCUAAUACCGCAUAGUCUCUCAAGGUUUAGAAAAUUGAGAGUAAAGGAUUUAUUCGCUUCGAGAGGAGCCUGCGUCCCAUCAGCUAGUUGGUAGGGUAACGGCCUACCAAGGCAAUGACGGGUAGGGGACCUGAGAGGGUGGCCCCCCACAAUGGAACUGAAACACGGUCCAUACACCUACGGGUGGCAGCAGUAGGGAAUAUUAGAAAUGGGCGGAAGCCUGAUCUAGCAACACCGCGUGUGCGAUGAAGGCCUUCGGGUCGUAAAGCACUUUUAGAGAGGAUGAGGAAGGACGGUACUCUCAGAAUAAGUCUCGGCUAACUACGUG